rnacentral:rRNA from 1 species
UUAUAUUCCUACGGGAAGCAGCAGUGAGGAAUUUUUCACAAUGGACGAAAGUCUGAUGGAGCAAUACCACGUGAACGAGAAGGUCUUCUGAUUGUAAAGUUCUUUUUUAGGAAAAAAAGCGCGCUAGGAAAUGAGCGCCCUUGAUUUCCUC